rnacentral:lncRNA from 1 species
CGAGCAACGCCGGAGCUCCGGCCUGGCUGCUCCUUCCCCAUGCCCGUCCUACUCAUCCUCCCGUGCUUCUCCACACCAAGCAUGAAGACCACACCAGCCAGGCUCUCUUAUGGCGACGACCUGCGCCCGAUACAGAAUCACGAUAUGUGGCGGCGCCGGAUCGAGAACGCGGGGAGACACUGUCCUGUGGGGAAGAGAAAGAGGAUAACAUGGUAUAAAAUAAAGUAGUCAUUUUUCAUGUAGUGAAACUUUAGUUUUGGGCAAGAUGAUCAAAAAUAAAAAUAUAACUAACGCAACAGGAGAACCACAUAUGGAGGCACUCAAGUGGACAGACACAACAGUUCAAACAAACCCAAAAAUAUCUCAUUGUUCACCUUAAACCUUCGGAGGUUUAAACUGCUAGUUGAACUGAAAGGCACCGUUGCUAGGUGACAAAAAAAUCAGUACGCUCUGCAGUAAUUUGAUAUGAUAAAAACCAGUUGGAUAAAGACCAAAUAAAGUUAUUACCUAGCGAAGUUAGGGCUGCCAUAAAAAUCUGAACAGUUCCAUAAGUGGUCUCUUGAUAUUAUAUGA